CAGUGACGAGGCCGAUAGCUGCAGAACGGCACCCUUGCACUUGGGCAGCCCCGACCUGGAAUGCAAACCUUGCUUACCCAGAGUUCAGCAGAGGAAGCCUGGCAGUGUCCAGCAGAGGAAGCCUGGCGGUGCGUCACACAUGGGCUCUCUGUGGAUGCAGAGUCCAGCAGAGGAAGCCUGGCGGUGUGUCACACAUGGGCUCUCUGUGGACGCAGAGUCCAGCAGAGGAAGCCUGGCAGUGCGUCACACAUGGGCUCUCUGUGGUCACUUGCCAGGAGCUGAGAGGCCAUGGAGAAAUGAGGCUUCAUUCGCCCUGGUUUAAACCUAAGAGCAUCCUACCCCAGGGCUCCCGAGGACGUCACCGAACAACCUGAGAGGGCAGAUGUUGGCAAUUAGCGCUUCUCCGUUCAGACCUCCGAAAAGCCUCCUGCUGGGCCUUUCUGUAAAUAGCUUCAACUGGCUAGCAAAACUGAUAGAAGGACUUUCGGACUAUUAACCAACCAUGAGGGACAAAUGCAGCAAUCUCUCCAGACACAUGGAUGCCACAGGUGCCACCCCCGAACAGAGUGGUGUUGAGACUGAGAAAAUUUGUAAGAGCUCCUGGUACCAGCCUGCAGCUGCCAUGAGUGAUAACUGAUAGCCAGUCACCAAGAUCUUUCCUGUCCACCACUCUGAACAGAAGGCAGCUCAGGCAAAGGCUUGCAGACUCUGAGAUCUUCACACAGUUUGUCUCUCACCACUGGUGCCAGAGAUACCUUCAGGCUUGCAGGGGAGCCGGGAUGUUGCUAGCCCAAGCUGAGAGGAAAGAGAGUAAGGUGGGCAUGGUUAAUGCUACACUCAGACGCUCGCUUACCCACUCUGAUGCUCACCCUUUCAGAUACUCACCCACUCCAACCAUCUGUUGUUUAUGUUCUGGCUUCAUUGAACACCAUGAGGAUGAAGGACAGGAGGAACAAAAAGGGAAAUCUGACUUCAAGUACUCAGAACUUGGGGUUCUGUGUGGAGCACUGUCUCUCAACCCCAGCAUACCCGUGAUGCUUCCCUAUGCCUGGACUUCCUGACCCAACAGCAGGGAUGGAAGCAGCAAGGGUGGGAGCCACCACAGAGCAAGAGUGAGGGUGUCUUGGUGUGUUCUAGUUUCUAGCCUAGAGUCUUUAGUGGAAUGUUGAGGGUCCUUUUGCCCAGAUUCCAACCUUAUUUAUCCUCGUGCCUGUUAGCCUUAAACACAUUAGAUUCUCCACGGGUGUUCAAGGAAAUGAGGAAGGCAUGAAUGUAAGUUUUCUCAUCCCCCCCUCCCCUCAAGUGCUCCUGUAAGGUUAAGAGAGCAGGAUGUUCUGAGAACAAGAGGAGGCCAUCUUUGAAUUGAUUGACCCCAACAGGUGAAGAAGAACCAAGUCUCUCUCUUCAUUUUCUUUGCAUGGGAGUCACCGGGUCUUCCUCUGCCAUUGCUACUGUUAAAUCACUUUAGUACAAAUGUUGGCCACCAGACAAUUGCAACCUUUCCACUUCAAUCCACUUCUCCAAGCAAAAUGCAGAUCACAAAACCAUUAUCACAACCUAUUCCCAUGCUAAUUAUGGGCGAAGUCUACCAUGGUCGGAUACCCUCUGGGCUAGGCGCAAAAUGGCAGACUCCGUUUACCAGCAGGGCCUCUCCUUCUCUGACCUCUACCUGUAGAGCAUCUCCUAGCCUUGGGUAAGAUUACAGGAUCAACUUCCUUUCUCGAGAUAAGCUAGUACCUGAGAUUCCUGGAAUGCCUAAUGCUCUAAUUCCUCUCUAUGCUAAUGAGGUAUUUCCUGUACUUUAAGCCUUCAGCCAGUGACCUUUGCCCACCCUGGAUGUUCCUACCCCGAGUCCCCAAAACUGUAUGAUCCUUGAAUCACCCCAAGUAAAGUUAAUCUGCCUCCCCAUA